UAUUUACUUGAUACUUCUAUCUGUCAACUAUAGCUGCCGACGGAUACUUUCGUUUAAAGACAACUUUGUUCAAUUAAAAGUUAAAAAAGAAAGGAGGAGGGUGUACAAUUUCGAAUCUCCUACCUUGUUUGAUUUGUGGAGUCGAUCAGGUGUGAGUAUGGUUUGGCGAUGAAUCGGUUUUAACAAUUAAAUUUUGUUUCGCGAUUAGUUACUCGAUGUUUCGGAUUUUUCGAACUUAAUUAACAAUUUUAUUAAACGGAAUUACAGUAUGUACUAGAUUGUUUCUUUGACGCAGACGGAUCGACUUGCGAAUGAACAAAGGAAUAAAUGAAUCACCGAAUCUCAAGUUAAUACCGAACCUUAAGUGCAAUACUCUUACAAUACUUUUUAAGUUAAACUCACUGUUUCCAACUAAGACUGACUUCUGACUGCUCUGAAUUAAAACUGAACUCUAACUACUUUCAACACUACUUUCAAUUAAAUUCUGAACUUGGUAAAACCAGCUCUGACUUCAAUUAAAACUGCACUCCAACAACUCUAUUGAGUACUGAAUCUCUAUUUAUAUUCUUCCUAAUUGUCACGUGACCGAUUAUUUCUUUUGUAAUUGUACCAUUACUACGUGACAAUUUAUGAAUUUCGUAACUACCUAUUUCCGCUGGGGUUCUUGUUUUCUUGAUUAUCUCACCCUUUGCUUGGUGUUAAUGACAUACAAGGUGCUUGAAAGAAUGUACAUGUUACAGGUGGUCGUAUUUUGCUGAUGCUGCGUCUGCGUUCUUUCCAUGACCUUCGUUACUGAUACCAGUGGAAUGUGCCGGUCGCGUGGCUGCUUGGCCUUGCUGAGGUUGCAUUUUGUGUGUCCGGUGAUCGCCCUGCUGAUGUCGGUGAAUCGUACGAGGUGCUUGCCGAGUCUUUGCACGUGUUGUAUGCUCUAUUUCUUAUGUUCCCCAAGGUUAUUGUGAGUUCAAGGACAAGUUUUAAUACGUCAUUCUAUAAGAGGUGGUGCGUGGUGGUAGUUUCUAUUUGUUGAUUUGCUUGCCGAGUUUUAGGUUAUAUUGAAUCAUGGAUACUGACAUAUCUGGAGCUGUAGAGUGUAAGAAAAAGAAAAGGAAUAGAGGGAAGCGCAGGCCGUUCGUACCUCCUGUGGUCGAAGUGGUAGAUACAAAUGCCUGCGCCAAGGUCCGUUUUCCGGAGGAAAUUCCUGAUAGAGUAUUGGAAGCCUAUCUAUUUCUA